rnacentral:rRNA from 1 species
AGAGUUUGAUCCUGGCUCAGAAUCAACGCUGGCGGCGCGCUUAACACAUGCAAGUCGAACGAGAAAGUGGAGCAAUCCAUGAGUACAGUGGCGUACGGGUGAGUAACACGUGGGUAAUCUAACUCUUAGUGGGGAAUAACCCUGGGAAACCGGGGCUAAUACCGCAUAAGCCCGAGAGGGGAAAGCAGCAAUGCGCUGAG